GGAUUUGAUCCCGGGUCUCCAGGAUCACGCCCUGAGCCAAAGGCAGGCGCCAAAGCGCUGCGCCACCCAGGGAUCCCCAGAUUACAUUCCUAAUGGAGAAUAUUUGUGGAAAAUAUUUGCCCCCAUUUGUACGUUGAAAUUUUAACACCCAAAGUUGAUUGUCUCAGGAGGUGGAGCUUUCGGAGGUGCUUGGGUCACCGAGGUGGAGCCUUCAUGAAGAGACCCCACAGAGCUUCCCAGCUCUUUCCUCUAAGCGAGGAUACCCCAACUCUGAGCCAGAAGAGAUUCUAGAACAUGACCAUGCUGCUGCCUUGCUCUUGAACUUCCCAGCUUCCAGAAUUGUGAGCAGUAAGGUUUUGUUGUUUAUAAGCUACCCAGUCUGUGCUUUUUCGUUAUAGCAGCACAAACUGAGACAAUAUCAAAUGGAUUAGAUCAAAUAAUUAUUCUUUCUUUUGGUGGCACAUGACCGACUCCUUGUCAGUUUCUAGGAGAUUAUUUCAUCAGGACUUUGCUGAUACCACAGUCUUUGGCAUGACUUACCAGCUCAUUGCUGAUCCCAGGAAAAGACUGAGUGCCUACAAAUGAACAGGUCACAGAUCUUCUGCCCUAUGGGAAGACAGGCAGGUGGUUAUCAUGGACCCACCUCUUGGAAAGGAAGAAGUCUGUUCCACUGGCAAGAUAAACCCAAGCAUUCUUGACCCAAGUCUGCUGUCUCUUUGCUGGAUGCAAAGUCCUAGGAUAAAAGUGAGGCUUACUUGGCAUUUGCCUCCUUGGAUUGUCAGCUCCCUGAGGGCAGACCUGCAUCUUGUGACUCCACCUAUCCUAAUGCGAAGUCUGGCACAAACUUCAUGAUUCAUGAGUCUUAGUGAAUGAAUAAAAAUGUGAACAAAUGAAUGUAUGCUUACCUG
rnacentral:lncRNA from 1 species